rnacentral:rRNA from 1 species
UACGUAGGGGGCAAGCGUUGUCCGGAUUUAUUGGGCGUAAAGAGCGUGUAGGCGGCCUGGAAGGUCAGCUGUGAAAACUCGAGGCUCAACCUCGAGACGUCGGUUGAAACCACCUGGCUAGAGUCCGGAAGAGGAGAGUGGAAUUCCCGGUGUAGCGGUGAAAUGCGCAGAUAUCAGGAGGAACACCGGUGGCGAAGGCGGAUCUCUGGGCCUUACCUGACGCUGAGGCGCGAAAGCGUGGGGAGCGAACAGG